AUUUUCUUUCCGGCUAACUUCAGAAGAAAAAGAGAGCUCGAGAGAAAAUGGCUUCUAGUUUGGAAGAGGCCAUCUUGCAAGCUGAGCAAGUGUUACAGUCAGUUGAAAGGAAACCCAAAUUUAAAAACACUGGUUCAAAUAAAUGGAAAUCAAUACAUCAACGUCUUCAGGAGCUAUAUGUUGAAGAAUGUAACAAGGAAUCAAGUGAUACAAGUGUGAAGAGUAGUACCCAUCUGCUUGAUAAGCUAGCCAAGAGAGAUAAACUCACAUGUCUGGUGGUUAAUCUGUUCCCUGGCAACCAAGGUUUCUCAUUAAUGCUCAGAGGCAAAGAUGGCAUAGACACAGAGACAUUGAAGUUACCUUAUGAUGAAUCAGACUUCUUGGAUUAUCUUGAUGCUGAAGAGCUUCCUCCGUUACUAGUGGAGCUCCUUGAUAAAGCUGAUACAAACAUCUUCUACAGCGGCUGCGUAGUGACUGAAAUAAGAGACUAUCGGCAGUCAGCUACUGGUCAGACAUAUCACUCCAAGCACAUACUACUCAGACCUACACCACAGACAUUGGCAUAUGAUAUCAAUUCAAUUACAAGUAAUGAUCCACGAUGGAGCAUGGAUGAUAAGUUAGCUCUUGAGAGUCAACUUCUGUUAACCACUCAAGAACCUCUAUGUCUUGAUCCAUCGGUAGCAGUAGCCUGUACUGAGAAUAUAAUACAUCAAGAGAAACAUAGACUCAAUACAAGACCUCUCAAAAAGUGUAUGAAGAGAUAUUCUCAGAUUGCCCGUAACCGCCGAGCUACUUUUAAGUCCUUCCCAGCACCACCUGGUCUCAGGCUUCAUGACUUCCUUGCUAAGAAGAAAGAAAGGGCACCCCCUCCUAAGGUCAAUCUCAAAGUUGGCAAACCGUGUGUUGACAUGUGGAAGCAGAGAGAUUUAGACCUUUCUGUACCCGAUAGCGUUCCUGUUUCCCAAUUUGCAAGCCAUUCAGAUAGACCAAGAGAAAGAAGUAGUGGUGGGGUUAUACCGGUUGAGGAGGUGAUCUUGGAGACUGAGAGAGGGAAUGGACGUCUGCAGCAUGUCAGAGUUACUAUACAGCAACGUCAGCUUGAUCAAACAUAUCAAGGAGAGCAGUAUAUUGAUAGGAAUUACAACCCUAAUGAUCCACAGCAUCCUAGAACUAAUGCAAACUUUACCAAGUUCUAUCUUGGCUCAUUACAAAACGCGCAAAGGUAUCUAAAACAAUUAACUGAAAGCCUGUCAUUGGAGACGAGACAACCGGUGAAGAUAUCCCGGGUCAUGGCAGGUCAACCUCCUCAGCUGAUACAGAACCCUGCUUACCAAUCACACCAACAACAGGGUUCUAGGGGAUCCACUCAGCAGCAGCAGCAGCAGCAGGGGGGUACGACAGGUGCAGGAGGGGGUGGUGAUGCAGGUGCAUCGGUAUCAGCCCAAGGGGGCCGUACUACUACUACUGGUGGCAGUGCUAGCAUGGAUGCUAGUAACUUGCAGCAGAAUAAUAAUAGUAACAAUCAGAUGGGAGCAGGGGGUGACAUGGCUCCAUUAGAUGCCAAGCAAUCUCUGAAACUUCAGCUUCCUUUGAAUGCAGCUGCUGCCGUUAAUAUGAACAACACUCUCUCAAACCAGCUCUCACAGUCUGGAUUAGCAGGUACAAUGAAUUCCCAAGGUCAAAUCAUUCAGAUCACAGGAAAUCAACAAAGUCAGCUACAAGGUCAGGUACAAGGUCAAACACAAGGUCAAACAGCAGGGUCAAACGUUGCUGUCCCUAGCCCACGCUUGCCUGGUAUGGGCAGACAACCGCCUGCAUAUCUCAAUAGGGCAAACAAUAACAACAAUGCUCAGCAGGAAAUACUCCCUUCUCCUGUUGUUACACCUACAUCUAUGCCAUCAACACCUCCUGUGUCCAUGUUUAGUGCCAGUGUAGGGGCACAGCUUCGACAAUUGAGGGCGCCCUUGUCUAACCCUCAGCAGCCCCAGAGGCCUGUUGCUACCUCUCGUCCUCUCCCUCCAAUCCUUGGGCGUCGUUCGUCUGGUUUAGACGCCCGUCAGGUUCUGGCUGCGGCUGCUCAUUCAGCUAAUCUCCCAGGUUCUAUGGGACCUCCUCCUACACCCCCACCCUCAACCACACCUUCCCUUCAACCAUCUGUUACCCCUCCACCGGUCCAGGGUAGGACUAAUACCCCCUCUCCUCUUGGAACUGGAUCAGUGACAUCUACCAAUCAGAUGGCUAUGACAAUUGCUAUGGCACUGGUCAACUCUCAACAAGGAGGAAUUCCUCAAUCAGGGAACACUAGUAAUAUCAUCAACACUCCUAUCGGUGUCAUGACAACCCUCCCUGGUUUCUCACCCCAUCAGACCGGUGGAAUGAUACAGCUAUCAUCCUCCUCGGCUAACUCUAACAAUGAUGUCAUCACAGUGGUAUCCUCAGGGAUUUCCCCAGCUACGACAUCACAGUCUGGUGUUAUCCAAGCUCCUGCUAAUGUCUUAACCGGACCAAUCAACAUCAUCAGUGGUGGUCAAGGUCUUAUAGGUACGGGAGGUCAAGCUGUGAUAGCCAAUGCUCAAGGUCAAGGGAAUAACCAGCUGACUCCAGCCAAGCUAGCCCAGCUGAUGACAAUGAACCUAAAGAAUACAACAUUGAGAGCUGCAGCAGCACAGACAGCUGGACCAGGGGGAGGAGCUGGAGCAGGAGGCAGUGCUGCAGGAGGAGCAGGAAACAAUCAAGCUCAGCAAAUAUCUCUCCUUCAGGGCCAACAACAGUUGCUCUACAACACUGCCAUUCAACAACGCCAAAUAAAUCCAGCAACUCUUCAACAACUGCAGCAACAGUUACAGCAUUUAGCAGCACAGAAUCAACAGCAGCAGCAACAACAGCAGCAACAGCAGCAGCUCUCAGGGUCACAAGGCCAGGCUACAUUCCAACAGCUAACUGCAUUACAGAAGCAGCAGCAAGCCCAAGCCGCUUUCCAGAAGCAACACCUUCUCAGACAACAGCAGCAGCAGCUCCAACAAUUACAACAGCAACAACAACAACAGCAGCAGCAACAACAACAGCAGCAGCAACAGCAGUUGUUGAAAGGAAAAGGUAAAAAGCAACGAGCAACACCUACUCCUCCACAAUGAAAUCUUAGACUAUAUUUAUACAAAGAGCCUGAACCUUAUUAUGUACUUUUAACUUCUAUACUUCAUUUAUAUGUGCACAGCCCAAUGCAAGUAAUGUAGAUGAAUUUUAUCAAAGCUACACUCUCUCAGUGGAUAUUUUUUUUGCAAGACAGAGCAAACUCAAUACAAAUAGGCACCUUGAUCCUUAUUUGUAUAUUUGUACUCAUAAAAUUUAACAGUGCCAGUCAGUUUUACUCAAUAGGCAUUUAGAGAGAAUGUGUUAAGGCCUCAUCUAUCAAGUAUAUGACUGGUAUCUUCUGAAAUACAAGAUGAUUUACCCUGAAUUUCUACAGCAGCAAAAUCACAGAUCACUUGGCCCAUGUUUUUUUUACCAUGUCCUUCAAAUUUGUAUGCCUCCAUGAAAGAUCAUAGAACUGAGUGAUAUUGUCCUAUGGAGGCUGACAUGUGACCAGUUCAAAGUGACAAUAAUGGUUACAAUAUUGAGCACGGAUAUCACCCUGUUGUAAUAUCUGGGCCUUGUCUUACAAAGAGUUGCGAUUUAUCUGAUCAAUUGUAAUUAUGGAUGGCCAGCAACGUCAACAUCUGUAAUGCA
rnacentral:misc_RNA from 1 species